rnacentral:sRNA from 1 species
UGCGCCUGCGGCGGACCAGGCACACAAGGUAAAACAGCUUCGCAGGCAGCACCUGUGUGUACGGCCCGGUACAUCCCGGAAUUUUCCGGGCUUUAAAGUCUUC